AUAUUUUUUUGGAAUGUCCAUGGCCUUAACUCCCGCGCUAAGCGCUCCGCCGUCCGCAGCGUGAUCUCCGCUGCCACACCUACCAUUGUGUGUCUCCAAGAGACAAAACUUGCGCAAGUCUCCGACGCCAUAGUUUUGGAAACGCUCGGUCCGUCCUUUGAGGACUUUUACUUCCUCCCCGCGGAUGGCACACGCGGUGGCAUCCUCCUUGCUUGGCAACGAUCUACCAUCUCCCUCUCCAAUCCCCUCAUCGGUGAGCAUCAUGUGACGGCCUUGGUCUCCUCCUUGGCCGGCGGCGGCCACUGGUGGCUCACCGGGGCGUAUGGGCCUCAAGAUGAUGACGCCAAGCUUGAGUUCCUUGCCGAGCUGCACGACGUGCGUGAGUCCCAUGUCGGCCCAUGGCUUAUCGAUUGA
rnacentral:rRNA from 1 species